rnacentral:rRNA from 1 species
GAAAGCGGCGGACGGGUGAGUAACUGCCUCUUACCUGCCCAGUAUAUUGGAUAGCCACCCGAUACCGUGAUUAAUACCCCAUAACGCGAAGAUGCUUUUGUAUGAGUUGCUGCAUAUUUAUCAGAAGGAGAUGGGUCUGCUUCUGAUUAUGUAGAUGGAAGGGUAACGGCUUACCACGGUAACUAUCCGAACUCGAACUGAGAGGGGGCUCGGCCACACUGAGACUGAGACCCGACUCCUACUCCAACGGGAGGUAGGAAAUCUUCAUCUUCGGACGGGAGUCUGACCCUGACCGAGCAACUGCGCGAGAGUGAUUUUCGGAUUCGGAUCGUCUGUUUCUGUUGAAAAACAAGAACGAGAGUGAAAGUGGAAAGUUCACACUGUGACUUACACUUACCAGAAGGGUAACUACUAACUCAGUGCCCGCAGCCACGGUUAUAUCCAGAUCCCUAGCCGUAUUCAUUAUUUAUUGAAGCGAACGCAGGCGGCUUGCGGAUAUCUUAAGUUUGAAGUUGAAGGCUGAAGGCUUAACCCUAUUUCGAUUCUGUUAUACUGUUUUAAUUCGGAAGGAGAAAGGGAAAUUGCAAAUUUCCAUGUGUAAACGGCGUAAUGCUUAUGAAUUAAGCACGAAUCACCGAUGGCGAAUCCGGUUCCUUGGACUGAACCUGAACGCUCAAACUCCUAAGCUCGAGAGCAAUCAGGAUUCCUGCCCCUGGAACUCCCCAACGUAAAC